GUGGGAGGAAAGCAGAGCCUGAGCUCCUCUUUGCUACCUGGGCCCAGCCUGCUCAGCACACCCAGGGAGGCUGAGGCCCCACCAGAAAAUGAACCAAUGGCUGUAAAAUGAAAGUCCUUGUCACACCAAGUGAGAUGUGAAUGCAGCAGAGAUACAGCAGCAGAUAAGAGCCACUACACUUGUUUGCCCUAGUGCAGCCACAGCAGAGAUAAAAGUCCCUCUGUCACAGCUUUACCCAGGUAGGUUGCUGAAUUGUCAGCAUCUUUGGAAGAGUUGGACACCUCCAGUGACAUGGAUGUGCUGCACACGUUGCCUGUGCCCUCUGCAAGGUCAAGUGCUUGGAAAGGAGCCCAAACAGCUUGCUGGCUCAGGAAAUGUGGACACAGAGUGAGCAGGACAAUGGGGAUGAAGCAGCAGCACUGGACUACUUUGUUUGCUGUGGUAGGAACACAACCUGGUGAUGGAUUUUGAUCUGACUGGUACACAAGGAUGUCUACAGGAUUUUGCAUCUUAAAUAUUUUUUCUACCGCUGUGCUUCAGGAAAAAUUUAAGUUCUUGUAUGCCACAAUCCACCAGGACUAAAGAUGAAGCUAAAAUUUCUGAUACAAAAGCAGAAAACAGCCCAAGAGGUUUAUGAAAAGGCCAUAGGAAACCCAGCUUUAGUUGCAGCAGUAUUAUUAAAUUCAAGCCUCAAGCAGAAGAAACAGGUGGGCAUGGCAAA